AAAUUACCCACUCCCGGCACGGGGAGGUAGUGACAAAAAAUAACGAUACGGGACUCUAUUGAGGCCCCGUAAUCGGAAUGAGUACACUUUAAAUCCUUUAACAAGGAUCCAUUGGAGGGCAAGUCUGGUGCCAGCAGCCGCGGUAAUUCCAGCUCCAAUAGCGUAUAUUAAAGUUGUUGCGGUUAAAAAGCUCGUAGUUGGUUCUGCGUGCCGCGCUGUCGGUUCGCCGCCUGUCGGUGUUACUGGCAUGUCGCGGUAUGUCCUGUCGGUGGUGAAUGGGAUCCCCGGUGCUGCCUAGGCUUUUAUAGUCGAAGCACGUGCCGUACGGAUGCCAUUUGCCGAUUUCUCCUACUCCGGUGCUCUUAAACGAGUGUCGAGGUAGGCCGACACGUUCACUUUGAACAAAUUAGAGUGCUUAAAGCAGGCUGAAAUAUCUGCCUGAAUAGUGGUGCAUGGAAUAAUAAAAUAGGACCUCGGUUCUAUUUUAUUGGUUUUAGGAAUAUGAGGUAAUGAUCAAUGUGGACUGGCGGGGGCAUUCGUAUUGCGACGUUAGAGGUGAAAUUCUUGGAUCGUCGCAAGACGCACUAGAGCGAAAGCAUUUGCCAAGUAUGUCUUAAUUGAUCAAGAACGAAAGUUAGAGGUUCGAAGGCGAUCAGAUACCGCCCUAGUUCUAACCAUAAACGAUGCCAGCCAGCGAUCCGCCGAUGUUCCAAUAAUGACUCGGCGGGGAGCUUCUACCCGGGAAACCAAAGCUUUUGGGUUCCGGGGGAAGUAUGGUUGCAAAGCUGAAACUUAAAAGGAAUGACGGAAGGGCACCACCAGGAGUGGAGCCUGCGGCUUAAUUUGACUCAACACGGGAAACCUCA
rnacentral:rRNA from 1 species